AUACAGAGGGUGCGAGCGUUAAUCGGAAUUACUGGGCGUAAAGCGCGCGUAGGCGGCUACUUAAGUCAGAUGUGAAAUCCCCGGGCUCAACCUGGGAACUGCAUCUGAUGCUGGGUAGCUAGAGUUUUGGAGAGGGAAGUAGAAUUUCAGGUGUAGCGGUGAAAUGCAUAGAGAUCUGAAGGAAUACCAGUGGCGAAGGCGACUUCCUGGCCAAAAACUGACGCUGAGGUGCGAAAGCGUGGGUAGCAAACGGGAUUAGAAACCCUAGUAGUCC
rnacentral:rRNA from 1 species